UUUAGUGCACAACGCCCUGAACGCGCCCGAUCCCGUCUGACCUCGGAAGCUAAGCAGGGUCGGGCCCGGUCAGUACUUGGAUGGGGGAUCAUUACACUUUUUAAGUCAUACCAUAG
rnacentral:rRNA from 1 species